AUUUGUCUGGUUAAUUCCGAUAACGAACGAGACCUUAACCUGCUAACUAGAUUCAUUAGUAUUACUCUUGAUAUCUUCUUAGAGGGACUAUGUAAAACAAAUACAUGGAAGUUUGAGGCAAUAACAGGUCAGUGAUGCCCUUAUAUGUCCUGGGCUGCACGCGUGCUACACUGAUGCAUACAACAAGUGCCUAACCAGACAUGGUAUGGCAAUCUCGAAUAUGCAUCGUGAUGGGGAUAGAUCUUUGCAAUUAUAGAUCUUGGACCAGGAAUUCCUAGUAAGUGCAAGUCAUCAUCUUGCAUUGAUUAUGUCCCUGCCCUUUGUACACACCGCCCGUCGCUCCUACCGAUACCGGGUGAUCCGGUGAACCUUUUGGACUCUUUACUGGGAAAGAUAAGUAAACCAUAUCACCUAGAGGAAGGAGAAGUCGUAACAAGGUUUCCGUAGGUGAACCUGCRGAAGGAUCA
rnacentral:rRNA from 1 species